AGUGAACGCUGGCGGCGUGCCUAACACAUGCAAGUCGAACGAUGAUUGGAGAGCUUGCUCUUCAUGAUUAGUGGCGCACGGGUGAGUAAUGCAUAGGUAAUGUGCCCCUUAGAGGGGGAUAGCCACUGGAAACGGUGAUUAAUACCCCAUACUCCUUCUGGUCAUAAGGCCAGUCGGGAAAUGUUUUUCGCUAAGGGAUCAGCCUAUGUCCUAUCAGGUAGUUGGUGAGGUAACGGCUCACCAAGCCAAUGACGGGUAUCUGGUUUGAGAGGAUGAUCAGACACACUGGAACUGAGACACGGUCCAGACUCCUACGGGAGGCAGCAGUGAGGAAUAUUGCACAAUGGAGGAAACUCUGAUGCAGCAACGCCGCGUGGAGGAUGACGCAUUUCGGUGUGUAAACUCCUUUUAAGAGGGAAGAUUAUGACGGUACCUCUUGAAUAAGCACCGGCUAACUCCGUGCCAGCAGCCGCAGUAA
rnacentral:rRNA from 1 species